CACUGCAAAUAAUGCAAGCUUCCCUACUUGACUAGAGAGUAACUCUUAUAAGGGCUUCACUACUUAGCUUUAGGGAAAGGGAGGCAAAGUAAAUAACUGAAAGUAAAGGCAAUAAAAGGAUGGUCGAUAGCUAAAGAGGGAAAAGCCAAAACAUGCAUCCAACCAAGGACCUUGGGGAAAAGGAAAAACAAUAAAAUAAAGACUGAAAUUGAAAACCUAAGUUAAGAAGGAAAGGGCAGUCAGAAGAGGGAAUGAGAGGGGGGAGAGAAGACUUAUGAGAAGCCUACCUACCUGAACUUCAAUACUUGUACUUGAAAAUUGAAUACUUGUUGAGACUUGAAAUAAUACAAGAACUAAAAACCAGAUCUGGAAUAAACCAAAUCUGAAAUUGCUAGUACUAGAGAAGACAAAUCUGAACUUGAAAACUUGUGCUCCACACUUGGUUCAUGUCACUUAGAACUAAGCCUAGAACUAGAAAGUAUAAUUACAAUUGAAUUCCAUGAACAAUAAACCUAAAAAAAGAACUAGUAUUCAUUAAAUAAAAUUCCAAUACAUAACUACUUAAACCAAUAAGUAAGAAGAAGACUAGAAGAAGAACUAGAGAAAAACCUAGAGAAAAUAAAAACCUAAAAGUGAAGUGCUAGAGAGAAAACCCUAAUAGAGAAUUGCUAGAGAAAGAGAUGAAACCCUAAUUGUAAAGUGUAUCCUCUCCCCUCUUGUAUGAUGUUUAUUUAUAGGGAAUAGGGGAGAGGGGGUCCAAUGAUUAGGGUUUGGUUAGGGUUUGAUGAGGUGGAUGAGAGAGAAGAGAGAAAGGGGGUAGAAUCGUAGGAGAUAGGAGAGAGAGAGAGACUCCAAUGAAUUGGGUUUGAUUAGGGUUUGUGAUGAUGUGGAUGAGAGAGAAGACAAAAAGGAUAGAAAAGAGAGGAAUCCUACGACUUGGGUGUGGUUAGGUGGAGGAGAGAGAAGAGAGAGAGGGAGAGAAAUCAUAGGAGAUGAGGCUCUCCACGAUUUGGUUUCCUAAGAAGGGUUUAAUUAGGGUGAUGAUGUGGAAAAUAGGAAGAGAAAAAAAAAAAGGAAAAGAGAUAAAAUAUGAGAGAUCCUAUGUUUUGGUUUCCUAAUUAAGGUUUAAUUAGGGUGAUGAUGUGGAAAAUAGGGAAAAAAAAAAAAGGAAAAGAGAGAAAAUAGGAGAGAGUCCUACGAUUUGGUUCUUUUCUUUUAUUUUUUUUUUUCUUAUUUUCUUUCUCUCUUCUAUCUUGCGCACAAGCUCCCUUGAGCGCCCCUUGCUUCAAGUGAUGAGAAGGAGAGAGAAAAUCUUCCAACCAAAAAAAAAAAAAACUCCAAAAUAUAGCAGCCAAGAAGUUCAAACUUGAGACCUCCUGGUGAGCAAGGGAUUUUGCACACCACAAUUCAUCAACUAUGCUAGGUAGUUGUUGUUACCAAAAAAAGAAUCUUUAAUCACUAAAGGGUGUGGUCCAUCGAUCCUUGUUGGCAUUUAGAACAUUCCUUAUACCCUGGGACAACUGUAGAUGGGUUGGUUCUGUAUAUUGGUUCAGUUCCGAUCCAUUGUUCUUUUUCUGGCCCGAAAAGAAUAACCACUUGUACGGAUGACCAAAUGGGUGUGUACUUUUAAUUGAAAAUUUCCAUCUUACUCAGAAUUUCAUCCUCUUCACAACCAAGAAAAGACACAAGACCUCUUUAUAUGUAAAAUUAGAGAUAUAGCACCCGAUAGUCCUUAAGGCCUUGAAAAUAUAAAACCUACAAAAAGAGAGUAAAACUCAAGGUAGCUCCAUUCUCAAUAUGUAAAAUACAUGUUUUACUACCCUAGAUUUCACACAUAAAUGUGCUCAUCACGUGGCACCAUGAGAUGCUCAGCUUAUUUUGUUAUUCUGAUACCGAAUUGUGAAUGGUAUAUUUUUGGGCUUAUUAUUUAUAAGUCAUGGAUAAUUGUAAUGGAAUAACUCAGUUAUUUAUAUAAUAUCACUGGAUGUUCCCCAUCUUAUGUUAUGAUUUCGAUAUUAUACUUUGAAUCCACUGCUACUGAUUUGGUUGUGUUAUGAGAUUGUGUAUGUUAAGGUAUUGCUAUCAGAGAUCCUGGUAGGUUUGUAAGACGGGUAUACAUCUUACUCACACCAUCGGUAUUCCUAAUGGUAAGUUAGGUUCACUAGAAUUGGGGUGUGACAGUUUCGAACUCCAAUUGAUCAAGAUAAUUGGGUUCACUUUAUGUCUAAAGCUGUUAUUAUAACAUGGCCCAUUAUCAUGCUUCACCUACAGGCUUUCAAGGUGAAGGAGAGAUUUGAGGCCUUAGGUUGGGAGGCUAUGUUUAAGGUAGAGGAAGAAGUGUAUCCAAGGUUAGUCCAUGCUUUCUACUGCAACCUAUCUGGCAAACAUCUUAGCACUAUGGUGUAUAAGAUUAUGAGCUAAGUUGGUGGUGUGGACAUCUCUCUUACCAAAGCCAAGUUUGGACAAAUCAUUGGAGUCUCUUUUGAGGGGAUCAAGACCUAUUGCCCUCCUCAGACUACAAAUACUGAGUUGGAGUUCUUAAAGGUGAAUUUCAUUACGGGUGGUGAAGCUACUUUGGCCCACAUUGCAAAUUGGAGACCUCCACCUUAGGUAUUGUGCAAUACAAUCUUCUUCCUAUCCACGGUCAUUUCAAUGAGUUAUCUUUGAUGCAAGCAUACACAACCUUCUGUCUCUACACUGGGGAGAGGAUCAGUUUACCCUAUCUGAUGUUGCGAUAUAUGGUUUAACGUGCCUAUCGCCCUACUAUUGGCACCUUGUUUUAUAAAAAAAUCCUAACUAAGGUGUUCAGGCAUAUUGGAAUUUGAUUAGAGGGUGAAGAGAGGAACGAGUCACAUGCCAUUCCUUUUGAUUGGGCUAUUCUAGAGAAAAUGCAGUUGCAUGAGUAUGUAGGGAGUGAUCAGGAAGAAGUACCUACAACUGAAGAAGACCUAGAGGAACACUAGGAUGAUGUGCAUUGAAAUGAGGAUGAGCAGCAGGAGGAGGGGACACAACAGAGAGAUGAGCAGCAGUAUGAAGAGGGGGUACAAUUUAGGGAAGAGGAGGAGCACAUGGAUCAUUUUCGUGAAUUCCACCUUAGUAGUGUUGAAAUAAAUCUUGGAUUCACGGAGGAGGAAAUUGAAAAUUUAGGAAUCCUACCUCCACACAUUCCCGAGGAGAGUACCCACAACACCAUUCCUACUAUGGAGGAGACUCAUCAGGCUGGUCACACUUCUUUUCAUACUUAAACUCCCUUUAAUAUUGCUCCAGAGGCUACCCAACCUACUACUUUGACUGGAGAUACUCUAACCUUGCAAGAAGUACCAUACCACAUGGAUAAAGAUUUUACUCAGGUCACCACUAGCUUGAAAGAACUGAGAUCUCAAGUGGCUCAUUGACUUCCAAAGUCAAGUCCAUGGAAGCUACUUUUAAGGGGUGGGCAGAGUGCAUGCGCAUCUCGCCAAACUUCAGACCUCCACGCUUUCGAUCUUAGUCUCAGCGGGCUUCUUCUUCUUCGAGUCACCUGUGGCACUCCCAGCAACAAAGCUCGGCUUCCUCUCUCACUUGUUAUUUGUCUUUGUUCUUCAUAUUUUGUGUACAGAACUGACUUAGAUCAAUUACUUUAGACAUUUUGAUUGUACUUAGUCCUUUUGUGGUUCAUAUGUUCCUUCCCCUUUUUUAUUUCUUUUACCUUCGGGGUUUCUUUCCUUUUGUACUUCUGUCUUUGUUGAAAAGGUUUCCUCUCCUUACAAUACAUCUUGUGUAUAUAAAUCGUAGACAAUAGUUUUAUGUAAUGAAGUUCAGUUAAAUUCUAUUUGCUUCCCCUCUUUUAUCUCUCUAA